rnacentral:rRNA from 1 species
AGUGAACGCUGGCGGUAGGCCUAACACAUGCAAGUCGAACGGCAGCACAGUAAGAGCUUGCUCUUACGGGUGGCGAGUGGCGGACGGGUGAGGAAUACAUCGGAAUCUACUUUUUCGUGGGGGGUAACGUAGGGAAACUUACGCUAAUACCGCAUACGACCUACGGGUGAAAGCAGGGGAUCUUCGGACCUUGCGCGAUUGAAUGAGCCGAUGUCGGAUUAGUUAGUUGGCGGGGUAAAGGCCCACCAAGGCGACGAUCCGUAGCUGGCCUGAGAGGAUGAUCAGCCACACUGGAACUGAGACACGGUCCAGACUCCUACGGGAGGCAGCAGUGGGGAAUAUUGGACAAUGGGCGCAAGCCUGAUCCAGCCAUACCGCGUGGGUGAAGAAGGCCUUCGGGUUGUAAAGCCCUUUUGUUGGGAAAGAAAAGCAGCAGGUUAAUACCCCGCUGUUCUGACGGUACCCAAAGAAUAAGCACCGGCUAACUUCGUG